rnacentral:rRNA from 1 species
GCGCUAUUGGAUGAGCCUACGUCGGAUUAGCUAGUUGGUAGGGUAAAAGCCUACCAAGGCGACGAUCCGUAGCUGGUCUGAGAGGACGAUCAGCCACACUGGGACUGAGACACGGCCCAG